CGGAAUACAAUACACGGAUGGAUGGGCAAACUUCAAUCUUCUUGUGGUUUAGGUUAAGUUUAUGUCUUCUUGCUUUUAGAUAGCCAAAAAGUAUAAAAUGUAUGCACAUUUAGCACUGUUUAGCUUUUAACUCCAGUAAAUAGCAGGCCUUAAAUUGUUUGAAGUCUCAAGCAAUCUUAAAUCUUAGCCAACAUUAUGCUUUCACAGUUUAAAACCAUGCAAUUGUAAAUGUACCCAAUAAUAGGUCUACCCAAUUAUACAGGCUGGCUGAGUUUGUACUGAAAUUUUACUAGGCCAAGGUUGAAAAGGAAGCUCAGGUGUUGGAAAUAUGGCUGUAGGUGUUCUGGUGAUGUGUAACAGAUUACUCUGCAGAUUCAACUGGAUCCCUAAAAGCUUCCCUCACAGCACACUUACUCACUCUAUAAGGCAAUUUCAUAGAUCUCCAAUUGUGAAUAGCAGACUUGAAGACUUUGGAAAACUGAUAGACCAAGGGAAGAAAGGUAUAUCGAAGCUGAAAUCGAAAGAUAAUGUUCCACCUGACUAUCAUUUGAUUUACAAAGCAACGUGGGAGUUAACGUUCAGAAUUGGGUACCCAGUGCUUAUAUCCAUGGGUGCUGGCUUGUUGGGACUGGUUGUUUACAGACAUUGCAAUAAAGACGAAUUAGAAAUGGGAAGGCCUAUAGGUAAGGGUAAUAUUAAAUUCAUGUAUCCCGAACAAGAACUUUGGGUCUUCUCCUUAGCACUCCUAUCAUUAGUGGUUGCUGGCUCUUCACUGAUGUUAAAAUAUCCCUUCAGAAUUUACAAGCAUGCAUCAAAAAAAGAAUACAUAGGUGUUUAUUUAAAUCCUUUCCUCCCAAUUUUGAGACAAGUACAUUUCACAAGUGCUAACCCGACCAAGUUUAGAAACCCGUUCUAUGUGAUGGUGCAAGACAGUCAUUAUGUUCUAAGUGGUAACAGGAAAACAUUUUUCUUUAGUUACUUUUUUCGUGUUCCAAAAGAUUUAACAGACAUGUUUCAUGAAUCCAAACCCACUAAUAAGGAUUAGUGCUUUGUUGUACCUUUCACUGAUUAAUUGUAAAUAAAUAUCAUUUUAGUGUG